GAACUGCAUGGUUCGAAAUUGAAAGGCGGCUUCGGCUGUCACUUAUGGAUGGACCCGCGUCGCAUUAGCUAGUUGGUGAGGUAACGGCUCACCAAGGCAACGAUGCUAGCCGACCUGAGAGGGUGAUCGGCGCCACUGGGACUGAGACACGGCACAGACUCCUACCCAGGCAGCAGUAGGGAAUCUUCCGCAAUGGACGAAAGUCUGACGGAGCAACGCCGCGUGAGUGAUGAAGGCUUUCGGGUCGUAAAACUCUGCCGUUAGGGAAGAACAAGUGCUAGUUGAAUAAGCUGGCACCUUGACGGUACCUAACCAGAAAGCCACGGCUAACUACGUGCCAGCAGCCGCGGUAAUACGUAGGUGGCAAGCGUUAUCCGGAAUUAUUGGGCGUAAACCGCGCGCAGGUGGUUUCUUAAGUCUGAUGUGAAAGCCCACGGCUCAACCGUGGAGGGUCAUUGGAAACUGGGAGACUUGAGUGCAGAAGAGGAAAGUGGAAUUCCAUGUGUAGCCCUGAAAUGCGUAGAGAUAUGGAGGAACACCAGUGGCGAAGGCGACGCCUGGUCUGUAACUGACACUGAGGCGCGAAAGCGUGGGGAGCAAACAGGAUUAGAUACCCUGGUAGUCCACGCCGUAAACGAUGACGCCUAAGUGUUAGAGGGUUUCCGCCCUUUAGUGCUGAAGUUAACGCAUUAAGCACUCCGCCUGGGGAGUACGGUUGCAAGGCUGAAACUCAAAGGAAUUGACGGGGGCCCGCACAAGCGGUCCAGCAUGUGGUUUAAUUCGAAGCAACGCGAAGGCCCUUACCAGGUCUUGACAUCCUCUGAAAACCCUAGAGAUAGGGCUUCUCCUUCGGGAGCAGAGUGACAGGUGGCCAUGGUUGUCGUCAGCUCGUGUCGUGAGACUUUGGGUUAAGUCCCGCAACGAGCGCAACCCUUGAUCUUAGUUGCCAGGAUUAAGUUGGGCACUCUAAGGUGACUGCCGGUGACAAACCGGAGGAAGGUGGUCAUGACGUCAAAUCAUCAUGCCCCUUAUGACCUGGGCUACACACGUGCUACAAUGGACGGUACAAAGAGCUGCAAGACCGCGAGGUGGAGCUAAUCUCAUAAAACCGUUCUCAGUUCGGAUUGUAGGCUGCAACUCGCCUACAUGAAGCUGGAAUCGCUAGUAAUCGCGGAUCAGCAUGCCGCGGUGAAUA
rnacentral:rRNA from 1 species